GGCCUAAGUUAGUUUAGUUGCGACUUUUUGAGUUUUGGGCUAACGAAAUCUCGAAUUCAAAUUCUGAUGGUUCCAUCAGCUCCGGAAUGACCAAAUUAGGCUAGUAGCACUGUUGGAAUGACUAUCGAGUCAAUCAAUACGAGUUUGGGGCUAUUUGGCACUUUUGACUUUGAAACUUAGCCUAUAGUUGACUUUGGUCAACAUUCUUGGAAAAUGCGCUCGAAUAAAAAUUCUGACAGCGCGGUUAGGUCCGGAAUGUUGAUUUUGGUCUAGAACGACCCUUCGUUCGCUUUUUGAGGCUUCCGGACUAAUAUCGAGGCAUGUUGUGGAAUAUGACUUAAAAUGACUCUUGGGUGUGGGACCCACUUUUUAUUAAAAUGAUCUCGUAUGGAAAUUCUGAAUGCGCCAUUGAGUCCGGAAUAUCGAAUUUAGUAGGGUAGCAUAUCUGGUUUAUUUUUAUCGGAUUCCGAACGAAUUCCGAGGGUCCAUUCGGAGACUUUAAAUUGUGGUAAAAACCAGAAAAAAUCUGCAGCAGUGCAGAAUAUUUUCAGAUUUUCUCCUCAACUUUGAACCCUCAUUUCUUGAGUUCUAGAGCUCCAAAUUGGGUGAUUCAAAAGGCAAAAUUGUGAGGUUUUUCGUGGAGAAUGCAUUGGAGAAAUUGAAAACUGAUUUGGAGUAUUCGAUUCUGGUAAAAAUCGUGAUUUUAUUUGCAGCAGUAUCCAUUUUCGGAAUGGAUUUUUGAAGAACUUUGACAAGUUAUAUCUUGACCAAUAUAAAUCCGAUUUGGGUGAUUCCAGAGGCUAUCUUGCGUGGAAAUUUAAGGAGAACAUCGUGGAAGUUUCAGAAUCUAUUUUUGGCACGUCGUUCGAGCUUGGCAGCGUUCCGAGGUCGUUCGAAAGGGAAAAGCUCCAGCACAGUGAUUUGGAGCCCGCGUGUUUGGCCUACAGGACCGAGCACCAGUUAUCGCCGUGGAUAAAUCAAGCCUGUUGCAGUCAACUUCGGAGACUAGGGUGAGUACUUGGCGUUUUUAGAUCAUUCUUGUCUCCUUCAGCAUGGAUGGCCCGUCUUUUGCCUUCUGAGACUAGCCAGUUGUUUUAUAUCUUUUUGGUCCACUUUCGGGACUUGUACUCGUAUUUUAUUUUGUAGCAGCUCUGUACUUGUGACUUCCAGGUUCUGGGAGGGAUCUUUAGUUGUUUAAAACAUGUUUUGGUUUACUUCCGCUUAUUCAUUCUGUUUACUUUUAUAAUUCAAUGCUCUUAUAUAGUUUUUGCCUUCAAACACAUUACUUGAAGUUCCGGGUUGACGGGUUGGCUUACCUACUAGAGGGUUAUAGUAGGUGCCAUCAUG